rnacentral:rRNA from 1 species
UACAGAGGUCCCAAGCGUUGUUCGGAUUCACUGGGCGUAAAGGGUGCGUAGGUGGCAGGGUAAGUUUGAUGUGAAAUCUCCGAGCUUAACUCGGAAACUGCAUUGAAUACUAUCCUGCUUGAGGAUUGGAGGGGGGACUGGAAUUCUCGGUGUAGCAGUGAAAUGCGUAGAUAUCGAGAGGAACACCAGAGGUGAAGACGGGUUGCUGGGCCGACACUGACGCUGACAGCGCGAAAGCCAGGGGAGCAAACGGG